CUGGAAAAGACAAUGAUGCUUUAUUUCCAAGCACAUAUCUGAUUUGUAUGUGUGGAUGGCACUAAAACUGAGUCUUUUUGCAG
rnacentral:snoRNA from 1 species